CGGCACGGGUGAGUAACACGUAUCCAACCUGCCGUCUACUCUUGGACAGCCUUCUGAAAGGAAGAUUAAUACAAGAUGGCAUCAUGAGUUCACAUGUUCACAUGAUUAAAGGUAUUCCGGUAGACGAUGGGGAUGCGUUCCAUUGGAUAGUAGGCGGGGUAACGGCCCACCUAGUCUUCGAUGGAUAGGGGUUCUGAGAGGAAGGUCCCCCACAUUGGAACUGAGACACGGUCCAA
rnacentral:rRNA from 1 species